rnacentral:ncRNA from 1 species
AACCAGCCGUCCGAAUUGGCGCCUAUAAGACGCACUUUCCGGACCACCGGAUAGGCGGAAGGUCAAAG